UACAGAGGGUGCAAGCGUUGCUCGGAAUUAUUGGGCGUAAAGCGCGUGUAGGCGGCUUUGCAAGUCGGGUGUGAAAGCCCUCGGCUCAACCGAGGAAGUGCGCCCGAAACUGCAGAGCUUGAGUACCGGAGAGGAUGGCGGAAUUCCCCAAGUAGAGGUGAAAUUCGUAGAUAUGGGGAGGAACACCGGUGGCGAAGGCGGCCAUCUGGACGGAUACUGACGCUGAGACGCGAAAGCGUGGGGAGCAAACAGG
rnacentral:rRNA from 1 species